rnacentral:rRNA from 1 species
GACGAACGCUGGCGGCGUGCUUAACACAUGCAAGUCUAUCGGAAAGGCCCUGUUUUUGUGGGGAGCUCGAGUGGCGAACGGGUUAGUAACAAGGGAGUUACCUGCCCUGUACUUUGGGAUAAACUCAGGAAACUGGGGAUAAUACCGGAUAGGAGCCCCUGCUGUAUGGUGGGGGUUGGAAAGUUUAGGCGGUUGGGGAUGGACGCGCGGCUUAUCAUCUUGUUGGUGGGGUAGUAGCGUACCACGGUUUUGGCGGGUCGCCGGCCUGUGAGGGUGACCGGCCACAUUGGGGCUGGGAGACGGCCCAGACUCCUACGGGGGGCAGCAGUGGGGAAUAUUGUGCAAUGGGCGGAAACCUGAUGCAGCAACGCCGCGUGCGGAAGGACGGCCUUCUGGUUGUAAACCGCUUUCGCCGGUGACGAGGAGAAAAUGACGGUAAUGGGAAAAGAAGCACCGGCUAACUACGUG